AUUGAACGCUGGCGGCAGGCCUAACACAUGCAAGUCGAACGGUAACAGGAAACAGCUUGCUGUUUCGCUGACGAGUGGCGGACGGGUGAGUAAUGUCUGGGAAACUGCCUGAUGGAGGGGGAUAACUACUGGAAACGGUAGCUAAUACCGCAUAACGUCGCAAGACCAAAGAGGGGGACCUUCGGGCCUCUUGCCAUCGGAUGUGCCCAGAUGGGAUUAGUUAGUAGGUGGGGUAACGGCUCACCUAGGCGACGAUCCCCAGCUGGUCUGAGAGGAUGACCAGCCACACUGGAACUGAGACACGGUCCAGACUCCUACGGGAGGCAGCAGUGGGGAAUAUUGCACAAUGGGCGCAAGCCUGAUGCAGCCAUGCCGCGUGUAUGAAGAAGGCCUUCGGGUUGUAAAGUACUUUCAGCGGGGAGGAAGGGAGUAAAGUUAAUACCUUUACUCAUUGACGUUACCCGCAGAAGAAGCACCGGCUAACUCCGUG
rnacentral:rRNA from 1 species